GUGCCAGCAGCCGCGGUAAUACCGGCAGCCCAAGUGAUGGCCGCUGUUAUUGGGCCUAAAGCGUCCGUAGCUGGCCGGACAAGUCCGUUGGGAAAUCCACCCGCUUAGCGGGUGGGCGUCCAGCGGAAACUGUCCGGCUUGGAGCCGGAAGACCUGAGGGGUACGUCCGGGGUAGGAGUGAAAUCCCGUAAUCCUGGACGGACCGCCGGUGGCGAAAGCGCCUCAGGAGGACGGACUCGACAGUAAGGGACGAAAGCCAGGGUCUCGAACCGGAUUAGAAACCCUGGUAGUCC
rnacentral:rRNA from 1 species